rnacentral:rRNA from 1 species
GACGGAGGGUGCAAGCGUUAAUCGGAAUUACUGGGCGUAAAGGGCACGCAGGUGGCUGAGUCAGUCGAUUGUGAAAGCCCUGGGCUUAACCUGGGAAUUGCAGUCGAUACUACUCAGCUAGAGUAUGGGAGAGGGUAGUGGAAUUCCCGGUGUAGCGGUGAAAUGCGUAGAUAUCGGGAGGAACAUCAGUGGCGAAGGCGGCUACCUGGCCCAAUACUGACACUCAGGUGCGACAGCGUGGGGAGCAAACCGG